CCUACGGGUGGCAGCAGUGAGGAAUAUUGGUCAAUGGACGCGAGUCUGAACCAGCCAAGCCGCGUGAGGGAAGAAGGUUCAGAGUAUCGUAAACCGCUUUUGUACGGGGGCAAACGCUGGUGCGCGUCCCCGUCUGAGUGUACCUUACGAAAAAGCAUCGGCUAACUCCGUGCCAGCAGCCGCGGUAAUACGGAGGAUGCGAGCGUUAUCCGGAUUUAUUGGGUUUAAGGGGUGCGAAGGCGGUCUGUUAAGUCAGCGGUCAAACCCCAGGGCUCAACUCCGGCCUGCCGUUGAAACUGGUAGGCUCGAGAGUGAGUGCGGUAGGCGGAAUGUGUGGUGUAGCGGUGAAAUGCAUAGAGAUCGCGCAGAACACCGAUUGCGAAGGCAGCAUGCCGGGUCACUACUGACGUUGAGGCACGAAAGCGUGGGUAGCGAACAGGAUUAGAUACCCCUGUAGUC
rnacentral:rRNA from 1 species